GAGGAAUAUUGGUCAAUGGGUGCAAGCCUGAACCAGCCAUCCCGCGUGAAGGACGACUGCCCUAUGGGUUGUAAACUUCUUUUGUAUAGGGAUAAACCUACCCUCGUGAGGGUAGCUGAAGGUACUAUACGAAUAAGCACCGGCUAACUCCGUGCCAGCAGCCGCGGUAAUACGGAGGGUGCAAGCGUUAUCCGGAUUUAUUGGGUUUAAAGGGUCCGUAGGCGGACUUAUAAGUCAGUGGUGAAAGCCUGUCGCUUAACGAUAGAACUGCCAUUGAUACUGUAAGUCUUGAGUAUAUUUGAGGUAGCUGGAAUAAGUAGUGUAGCGGUGAAAUGCAUAGAUAUUACGUAGAACACCAAUUGCGAAGGCAGGUUACCAAGAUAUAACUGACGCUGAGGGACGAAAGCGUGGGGAGCGAAC
rnacentral:rRNA from 1 species